GACGUAGGGUGCAAGCGUUAUCCGGAAUUAUUGGGCGUAAAGAGCUCGUAGGCGGUUUGUCGCGUCUGCUGUGAAAACCCGAGGCUCAACCUCGGGCCUGCAGUGGGUACGGGCAGACUAGAGUGGCGGUAGGGGAGAUUGGAAUUCCUGGUGUAGCGGUGAAAUGCGCAGAUAUCAGGAAGAACACCAAUGGCGAAGGCAGCUCUCUGGGACGGUACUGACGCUGAGACGCGAAAGCGUGGGGAGCGAACAGG
rnacentral:rRNA from 1 species